GGGGAAUUAAGCUAACUGGCUAAACUGAUAGCUUUGCAAGCUAUAUUAGAGGGUUCGAGUCCCUCAUUCUCCA
rnacentral:tRNA from 1 species